rnacentral:RNase_P_RNA from 4 species
AAAUUGAUUGAGAUGAUCGCUUUGAUGUAAAAAUCGGAGAGGAAAGUCCGAACACCUUAAAAAGAGUAGUUGGUAACACCAACCGUUUUAGAUAGCAAUAUCUAAAACAGGACAAGUACAACAGAAAAUAUUCCUAUUCCGCUUUGCGGGGUUAAGGGUGAAAUGAUUAGCUAAUAAGCUAAUCCGUUCUGUUGGUGACAACAGAAAUGAGGCAAACUCUACUUGGUGCAACUUUGAGUAGGCCGAGCUCAGUCAAGCUUAGCUUGAUCAGUUCGGCGGGUUGAAGGCUUGAUCUUGACGGCAACGUCAAGACUAGAUAGAUGAUCGUCGCCCUUGCUUAGCAAGGGAACAGAAUUCGGCUUAUGAUAUCAAUUUAGGC